GCUGGGUGCAGUGCCCUCUACCUGUAGUCCCACCUACUCAGGAGGCUGAAGCAAGAGGAUCACUUGAGUCCAGGAGUUGGAGGUCAACCUAGGCAACAUAGUGAGACCCUGUCUCAA
rnacentral:sRNA from 1 species